rfam:Sphingomonas sp. Leaf231 contig_2, whole genome shotgun sequence.
AGAGCAGGCCUUUCAGGCAUCCUCUCCUAAAAACUUCAAACGGCCGGCCCCUUGGGGCUGGCCUUUUUUUCGUCCCUC